UUUAAAUUGAAGAGUUUGAUCAUGGCUCAGAUUGAACGCUGGCGGCAGGCCUAACACAUGCAAGUCGAACGGUAGCACAGAGAGCUUGCUCUCGGGUGACGAGUGGCGGACGGGUGAGUAAUGUCUGGGAAACUGCCUGAUGGAGGGGGAUAACUACUGGAAACGGUAGCUAAUACCGCAUAACGUCGCAAGACCAAAGAGGGGGACCUUCGGGCCUCUUGCCAUCAGAUGUGCCCAGAUGGGAUUAGCUAGUAGGUGGGGUAACGGCUCACCUAGGCGACGAUCCCUAGCUGGUCUGAGAGGAUGACCAGCCACACUGGAACUGAGACACGGUCCAGACUCCUACGGGAGGCAGCAGUGGGGAAUAUUGCACAAUGGGCGCAAGCCUGAUGCAGCCAUGCCGCGUGUAUGAAGAAGGCCUUCGGGUUGUAAAGUACUUUCAGCGGGGAGGAAGGUGUUGCGGUUAAUAACCGCAGCAAUUGACGUUACCCGCAGAAGAAGCACCGGCUAACUCCGUGCCAGCAGCCGCGGUAAUACGGAGGGUGCAAGCGUUAAUCGGAAUUACUGGGCGUAAAGCGCACGCAGGCG
rnacentral:rRNA from 1 species